AGUGGCGAACGGGUGAGUAACGCGUGGGUAACCUGCCUCAUACAGGGGGAUAACAGUUAGAAAUGGCUGCUAAUACCGCAUAAGCGCACAGUACCGCAUGGUACGGUGUGAAAAACCCAGGUGGUGUGAGAUGGAUCCGCGUCUGAUUAGCCAGUUGGCGGGGUAACGGCCUACCAAGCCGACGAUCAGUAGCCGACCUGAGAGGGUGACCGGCCACAUUGGGACUGAGACACGGCCCAAACUCC
rnacentral:rRNA from 1 species